rnacentral:rRNA from 1 species
CAGCAGCCGCGGGAAUACGGAGGGGGCUAGCGUUGUUCGGAAUUACUGGGCGUAAAGCGCACGUAGGCGGCUUGGUAAGUUAGAGGUGAAAGCCCGGAGCUCAACUCCGGAAUUGCCUUUAAGACUGCCGAGCUAGCAGGUGAGAGAGGUAAGUGGAAUUCCGAGUGUAGAGGUGAAAUUCGUAGAUAUUCGGAAGAACACCAGUGGCGAAGGCGGCUUACUGGCUCAUACUGGACGCUGAGGUGCGAAAGCGUGGGGAGCAAACAGGAUUAGAUACCCCCGUAGUCCCUGUCUCUUAUAC